AACACUUGAGCGCCAUGUUUGCAAGCAAGGCAAAGCAAAACAUCACAAAACUCCUCCUUCCUCGUGAAAUGGGUUGUGGGGGAUUAUCUGAAAAACUGUCCAAGUUUUGAAAACCUACCAGAAAUAGUAGACCAUCCAGGCUUCUGUUUCAAAGAGAGUGAAAUCCAGCGAGACUCACACGCCUUAUAAUCAGUCUCAUGCCUCAGACACAGAGACCAGUAUCCAUUCUCAGGGCAGGCUGUAAUCUUUCCCUUCCUGACAAUGGACUCUCGGGCGACUCCUAAAUCCCACAUGGUCUUCCCUCUGACCUGUACCUCGUAGUAAGAUCUCCCUGAGGAGAAUCCUUCCUUCCCCAGCACACAGGGACAGCGAUUAAACCGCUCAGGGUUAUCAGGGUAACUCUGUACACAGUCUCCACAUGUCACUUGUUUUCUAUCUUCAGACAAAAUGAGAAAAGUUCCUUCAAGAGUAUGACCAACAUUGACUGGCACAGUGAUUCAUGGAUGCUUAUGAUACUUCACUGAUGCACUGUGAGGAUAAUGGUGAUGGGGGAAAAAAAAGAAGAAGAUCAGAAUUCAAAUCAUUUGCUUUGGUCAGAUGAUGUCAAAAUCAGACUUUUUUUUGUGUGUAAACAUCAGCAGCAUGCUAGGUGAAAAAAUGAGGAAUGCAUACAAGGAACAUCAUCCAAACCCACUCUGAAAUAUGGAGGUGGAGGCUUUCACCGAUGCUUUGGGGCUGUUUAGUGGUUUGCAGUCCAGGGACCCUUGUGAAAAUUAGUUGGGUCAUAAAAUCUUCUAAGUACCAGGAUAGUCUGGCUUAAAAGACUUGCCCAUAAACAUUUAGAGAUAUUAUCUUUCGAGAUUUUAUAAAUCAAUCCAAAUAUGGGUGUUUUGCAGUAGAAAUUUUGAAAAGGACAGUCCACAUGCACAACCAUCAGAAUAUAAAGAAGUUCUGCAUGGAUGUUCGGCAUGGCGGAUCCAGGAUUCGCUAUAAAUGUACCUAGCCUUGUUCGUCAUUAAAGGAAGAGGCUCGGUUUUGUUAUUCUCACCAAGAGAUGCUUUACGAAAUAUUAACUGUGAGAAAAUGUCUGAGAAAAAGACUGUUCAAAUGAAACAGCACAU